rnacentral:rRNA from 1 species
GACGAACGCUGGCGGCGUGCUUAGCACAUGCAAGUCGAACGGAAAGGCCCUGCUUUUGUGGGGUGCUCGAGUGGCGAACGGGUGAGUAACACGUGAGUAACCUGCCCUUGACUUUGGGAUAACUUCAGGAAACUGGGGCUAAUACCGGAUAUGAGCUCCUGCUGCAUGGUGGGGGUUGGAAAGUUUCGGCGGUUGGGGAUGGACUCGCGGCUUAUCAGCUUGUUGGUGGGGUAGUGGCUUACCAAGGCUUUGACGGGUAGCCGGCCUGAGAGGGUGACCGGCCACAUUGGGACUGCGAUACGGCCCAGACUCGUACGGGAGGCAGCAGUGGGGAAUAUUGCACAAUGGGCGGAAGCGUGAUGCAGCAACGCCGCGUGCGGGAUGACGGCCUUCGGGUUGUAAACCGCUUUCGCCUGUGACGAAGCGUGAGUGACGGUAAUGGGUAAAGAAGCACCGGGUAACUACGUG